rnacentral:rRNA from 1 species
AGUGAACGCUGGCGGUAGGCCUAACACAUGCAAGUCGAACGGCAGCACAGUAAGAGCUUGCUCUUACGGGUGGCGAGUGGCGGACGGGUGAGGAGUACAUCGGAAUCUACUUUUUCGUGGGGGAUAACGUAGGGAAACUUCCGCUAAUACCGCAUACGACCUACGGGUGAAAGCAGGGGAUCUUCGGACCUUGCGCGAUUGAAUGAGCCGAUGUCGGAUUAGCUAGUUGGCGGGGUAAAGGCCCACCAAGGCGACGAUCCGUAGCUGGUCUGAGAGGAUGAUCAGCCACACUGGAACUGAGACACGGUCCAGACUCCUACGGGAGGCAGCAGUGGGGAAUAUUGGACAAUGGGCGCAAGCCUGAUCCAGCCAUACCGCGUGGGUGAAGAAGGCCUUCGGGUUGUAAAGCCCUUUUGUUGGGAAAGAAAAGCAGCAGGUUAAUACCCCGCUGUUCUGACGGUACCCAAAGAAUAAGCACCGGCUAACUUCGUG